rnacentral:rRNA from 1 species
GACGAACGCUGGCGGCGUGCUUAACACAUGCAAGUCGAACGAUGAAGCCGGAGCUUGCUCUGGUGAAUUAGUGGCGAACGGGUGAGUAACACGUGAGUAACCUGCCCUUGACUCUGGGAUAACUGCGGGAAACUGUAGCUAAUACCGGAUACGACCCUCGGAGGCAUCUCCUGGGGGUGGAAAGAAUUUCGGUCAAGGAUGGACUCGCGGCCUAUCAGCUAGUUGGUGAGGUAAAGGCUCACCAAGGCGACGACGGGUAGCCGGCCUGAGAGGGUGACCGGCCACACUGGGACUGAAACACGGCCCAGACUCCUACGGGAGGCAGCAGUGGGGAAUAUUGCGCAAUGGGCGCAAGCCUGAUGCAGCAACGCCGCGUGAGGGAUGACGGCCUUCGGGUUGUAAACCUCUUUUAGCAGGGAAGAAGCGAAAGUGACGGUACCUGCAGAAUAAGCACCGGCUAACUACGUGCCAGCCGCCGCGGUAA